rnacentral:rRNA from 1 species
UACGUAGGGGGCAAGCGUUGUCCGGAAUCAUUGGGCGUAAGAGCGUGUAGGCGGUUCGGUAAGUCGGCUGUGAAAGUCCAGGGCUCAACCCUGGGAUGCCGGUCGAUACUGCCGGACUAGAGUUCGGAAGAGGCGAGUGGAAUUCCCCGGUGUAGCGGUGGAAAUGCGCAGAUAUCGGGAGGAACACCUAUGGCGAAGGCAGCUCGCUGGGACGGUUACUGACGGCUGAGACGCGAAAGCGUGGGGAGCAAAGCAGGAU